UAUAAUUUAGUAUAGAAUGUACAUGAACUUUUGAUGUUUAGAGGAAAGGUUUGAACCCUUUAGUUGUAA
rnacentral:tRNA from 1 species